UGCUCUUAGCCUCCCUCGCACGAAAAAACCGUACUCUCGAUCCAUCCCUCGUGCGACCGCUCUCUUCCCCUCUCCUCCCGAUGCGGCGCUGCCCCUAUCUCUUGCUCCGCCGCCGCCCGUCACCUCCUCGGUCUUCCCGCCGCCCCCUCCGCACGACGCCUCACCGGACAUCGAUCUCGCCCCGCAGGAUUCAACUCCGCCGGCCUCGUCAUCCUCUCCAUCACUACGGUCGUCCACGUGGAAGGCACGGCCGUCGGUGGCGGUAAGGCGCGGGCUCACAGCGAGGGAAGCACCGUGGAUCCACUCGAUCCCGCGCCUCCACCGACCGCAGCCUCCUCUGUUCAAUCCACCCCUCCACCAUCCAACGCCUCUCUCUCCCUGGCCUCCCGAUCCCAGCCGCCAGGAGGCACCCCACCCCGCGCGACGCUCGAUCCGGUGUCGCGCCGAUCUGGCGGCGGGUGCAGCGUCUUGCCCCAAUAGCGACGACAUCCUGCUGAUCCAGAGAAAGGGAGAGACAGGGCGUAAGGGAGAGAGGGAAGAGAGGAAGAAAGGAGUACUAUCGCCGCCUUCCCCGACUCCGAGGUCGCCGGCGGCUCGCACUGGCGCUCAGAUCGCCGUCGGCUCCCUCCGACGCCCAGGUCGCGCCGGUUCCUCCCCACCUGCCUCGAUCCCACUGUCCUGACAUAGAGGACAGGCAGCGCCUUGUUGGAGACUUCGGCCCCGACGACAAUGAGGAGUACGGCGCACCUCCAUGGAGCGAAUGGAAAAUUGACGAGCACAUCGUUCGGUGCUGCUAUUUUCCAUUCGCUGCUGCGUUGCUUCUACUCUCCACUAAUCUCUCAAGUGUCAGAGAGUAGAUAUGGAUUAGUUCAUUUCAUGGAAGAUGCCGGUUUUGACCUUGGUUGAUCAACAUAUCUUCUAUGCAUUUGCAGAAACUGCAACAUAUCUUCUAUGCAUUCGGAGAAAUGGUUAACCCCAAUGCAUGGACUGCAAUCUACAUCAUCCGCCAAAUGACGUACAUCCAGGCCCCUAAAGUGUCAAUCUGUGAUUACCUGUCUAAAAGGUGCUUGAUUUCUUUCCCUUGGCUAAUGUGGGAUCUGAUCUUUUUUUCUUCUGGAUUUGCUGUAGGCAUGAACAAAGCUUGAUUGCUUGAAUGGGCUUUGACCAGAUUGUUGUUUUACUGGUCAGUUAGUUCAUCACAGACUCGAAGUACAGAUGAUCUGAUGUCAGAUUGUUCACACAACGAUGUCCUUGCCACUUCUUUAGAUAAUUUGUUGCUUAGUACAAACUGUAAGAAGCUGAAGCUUACUGAUUUUGGGCUUGCACGAGAGGAAACUACGACUGAAAUGAUGACAACUGAAACUGAGACAUACUGAUGGAUGGCCACAGAGGUUAUACAUCACUCUUUUCUGCACUAGAUACUGAUAGUCAAUAUUAAUAAUUUAUGAACUGAAGCCAAAACAAAAUGGUUUCUAGCUGUAGUUUCUCGAGUUUAUGCUUGAAAUUAUACUUUGAUUUGUAUGCCCUCUUGAUAAUUUCAUGGCUGAAGUUUUUAUAACUCAUUGAUUUGAGGACAUUCUACUUGUUACAAAGAGGAAUCUGAUGCUCUAGCACUGAUUUCUGUGAAUCCAAAACCUGACGCUUUGUCUUAUAUUGUUCCAAUUAUACAAUACUGUCACACUUCAACGUGGUGAAAAAAUCACUACACAAACAUAGUGGAUGUUUACAGCUUUGGCAUCGUCCUGUCGGAGUUGCUGGCCAAUAAAAUGCCAUUAGAAGGCAUGUUGAUUUUGCAAGCUGCAUAUAUAUGUUGCUGCUACGGAAUGAUGCCACUUCCUAGAAUGUAGUCUGCACCUAAUUACCCAGGUACGCAACCAUAAUGUUGUAGGAAUCACUAUUUUCUUGCGAGUUUCAAGUGGAUAUUUGAAUCGGUCUUUUCUUGUAACUGAAACUGGUUGCUCGUAUUUCUUCAUACUGUUUAGCAUUCUGAUGAUGUGAUGUUGCAUACCUAAAAUAUAUCAAAAUAUUUUUUGUGAUUUGAAUAAUCAACAUUGAAUCUUGUUGUACUUCUUUUAUGAGGUCUGAUGGAAACUGCAAUGGGCUACAACGCAUAUAAGUGAAUGAAACAAAUAAUUAAGAACAUCAGGUCGAAGCGGUUGUUGCCCAUAGCUUCACACAUGUGCAUUUGUUUAACAAAUUAAAAUUGACCAUGAGUUUUUACUAUUAAUUGAUGGCUCGAGGGAAGAGACAGCGGCAUAUUCUUCGUUGAAAUCAGGUGUGGGCUUUUGAUUAAUUAGACCCAACUUGUCUUGUCUCAUUGCAUGUCACCCAAUUUCGUUGUCUUCGGGGAAUAGAUGAUGACACAUGGACACCAUUCGGUGGCAGUUUGAUGUUUUUCAGGAAUGAAUUCCACCCGUCAUUCAAUACUACUAUGAGAGAAGUAGGGAAAUGCUCACCCUCUGCAAAAUGUACUGGUUCGUCUCGCGGUCUCACCCCCAAAAACAGAGGAGAGGAGCAGGGAGCUCCUCCCCCACACUCCUCGGCUCCAAGGAGCCCCGCCGCCAUGCAUGGAGAUGAGGAGCAGGGAGCUCCGCCGUCGCGCAAGGCAAACCAAGUCUGCAACAUUUGAAUAUUAUACUCAGUCAGUUGCUCGACUACUUGUAGUCCUAUUACUUGAGACUAUACUUGGUCAGCUGCCAUGUACUCCCUCCGUCCCAUAAUAUAAGAACGUUUUUGACACUACUGUAGUGUUAAAAACGUUCUUAUAUUUUGGGACAGAGGGAGUACAUUAUUCUGACAUAAAUGACACCAUGUAUAUGUGCAAGUCAGAAGGAACUGGCCAUCUAAAAAGAUGUCAAAUUAGUUUUGUACAUGCUUCAGUACUGCAAGUUGGAGGAGCAGGUAAGUAUACAUCAAAAGAAAGUACUGCUUCAGUACUGACCAUCUAAAAAGAUGUCUAAUUAGUCAGGGCCGGUCCUAAGAUUUCGGGGGCCCGGGGCGAAACUAAAACCCGGGGCCCUUUUAUUAGCAUACUAGAUUUUUUUUUUUCAUUGCAACGAAGACACUUAUUAGCUUACCAAAUAGUAAGUCAAUAAAACAUGGGUUAGUUGAGGCGGUUUUGAGAAAAAAUUUGUGGGAAAAACCAAAUAUGAAAUAUGAAAGAAAAAAAUCAAAAUAGGGAGGAGGCAUAGGGAGGCUGGACUAAGGAGAAACUUAAGACAGAACAUUGCAUUCUUUAUAAAUAGUAGAGACGGUAAUAAGUUAAUAAAACGUUGGGACAGUUGAGGUGUUUUUUCGGCAAAAUUAGUGUGGAAAAUAAUCAAAGAUGGGAUAGAGAUAAACAAAAGCAGGCGCGAGGACGUAGAAAGGUUAGACGAAGGGCAAACGCAAUACAGAACCUCAUUAUUUUAGAUAGUACUCCCUCCGUCCGGAAAUAUAUGUAUCUAUAUGUAUUUUAGUUUUAGAUACACCCUUUUUUAUCCAUUUUGAUGACAAGUAUUUUCAGACGGAGGGAGUAGUAUAUAUAGAGAUGGAUGAAAUAAUAAGUAUAUCAAAUAUUUUCUUCAUACAUGAAAUGUUACCAAGAACAUUUAUAGAUUACCUUAGAAUUUUCUUCAAACAUUCCAUAAUGUCAACAUUGACUUCUAUAUGGUCAUCAUCUCUUGAUUUGCAUUAGUUUGCUCAUCCACAACGAUCUAUGUGAUACUAUCAACUCAUCUAAUCAUUUUCUCAUCUCUUUUUUCUCACCACGGGAUAUAGUAGAUCUGAAAUUUAGAAGAGACAAGUACUAAUUAAAAACAUAACACAAGGUCUUAUGGAAAAAUUCUAGGGCAGAAGAUAAGACCAAAUCACUAAGACAUAAGCUACCUUAUUUGAAAUCAACCAUGGUGUGUAUGGCAAGGACUGAGGUAGCCUAUGCGCGGUUGUGUCCGCUGGCCGGCGGCGGGCGGCGGCCAGCGCUCAGCGCUCGGUGGCUCAGGCGACUUUAGAAAUCGCGAUUAGUGGAGAUAGAGACGAUGGCCAGCAAUCCAUACGCAAACCUAGAUCCAUCGGAUGGAUCGGUAGUACGUGUGUAAUGUACGGUUAGGCUGCCAAAGCAUGCGUACUUGCACGGUUCCACGAAGCCCAGUCUGCAUUUUUCUUCGCCUCACCGAGCAAGGCCCAGAUCACUAACGUACGUAUGCAGGCCAGGUAGGAGGGGGCCCCAAGAUAUUGGGGGCCCAGGGCGGCCGCCCCCCCUGGCCCCCCAUCAGGGCCGGCCUGUAAUUAGUGUGCACGAAUCAUGUUAAAACCUGCAGUACCUACCUGCGCAUUGAUACUCAUACCUGAAGGUGAUAAAAGUUGCAUCUUGAGAUUCAAUUCUUUGAUUUAUGAUGCUCAGCCAUAUGCAAAAUGAGAACAUAUAUCCUUCUUACUAAUCUCUUUUUCUUUAAGUUGAAACUAUUUCUUUGUUACUUGGUGUAUGUGAAGUGCAACCAUAGUCCUGUCACAAACUUGUUUGAGGAUGGCAAAAGACUGGCCUUUUGCGGGACAGAGAAAAGAUCGGUUUAUUUUAUUUUAACACAACACAGCGAGCUCAAUAUAUAUUAGUUAGCACCUGGCUGAUAACUGAUAACUGUAAUAAUAUUAUUGGAGAGUAUUUCCUAUGAGAUAACUAAACUUAACAUCACAUCUCUUGAUUUUUGUUUGUCCUUCUGAGAACCUUAGAACCCUGCUUGGAAGACUAUUUAACCCAUUAUUAUUCUGUUUAUUGUUCAAAAUUGCUUCAGUUAACAUGAUCAUGAACACACAGGCUGUAUAUUUAUUUUAAUCUUGUGUAUUUGUGACCUCACUUUUUACGCGUUCUGCUGGCAUGUCCUUUCUAGGAGGGCAUAAAAUGUUUUUCCAAUUUUCCUUCCACCAUUUGUAACCCUUUGCGGAAUCUUUUGGGGAGGUUUGCAACAUUGUCUACUCAUCUGAUGGGAAAUCUAUUUGUUCUCUAUCGCGUGACUCGCUUUGGAACUGAUGCAGAGGUACUCUUCUUUGCGUGGGUGUUGUAUGUGGUUCAGUUUGCUUAAUCUGGUUUGGUUUACACUGAUCUUGCUUGCUUAGUUUUUGAGUGUGUAACCACUUCGUAGAUCCUGCUAUUUGAUCAAUGGAUGCAACCCAUGGGGGCAUGCAGAUGAUGGCGAGGCAUCAUGUUGUGGUGACAGCGAGGAAAGUAACCUAGAUGAAGGCAGUGGCAACGGGUGGCUGUCGACGAAAGCGGCGUGGGGAUGGGGGAGGUGGGUGGCAAGGGAUGAUUGGGCGGUGAAUGGCAGCCGAGGAGACGGAGCAGUGGCAAGAUUGGACGAGCUCGCCUUCGGAGUGCGUCUGAGGCAAGAUUUCCUUUCCGGGUUGGCCGAGGGCUUCCUUGUGUGUUUAUUAUUUCCGGCAGAAGUGGUGAACAUGCAGGGUUAAAGCGUUUUCUUUUGCCCAAGGGGAGGGUAGAAAACAAAAAAAAUCAGAGGGGGGUGGGGAGGUGUGUGGUGGGAGGGGUGGAAACCCUCGAAGCAAGGUUGGUAGGAGCAGACUGUCAUGAACUAAAGUUCAUUUGUUUACUGACAUUUGCAUAUUGUUCAUCCUUUUGUUAUUGAAUUUGGAAACACGUGUAAGGUUUCCAUAUCUUGAAAUUACGAAUACUGAGAAGUGCAAGCCUUUCUCUUUUAGAAAA